UACGUAGGUGGCGAGCGUUGUCCGGAUUUACUGGGCGUAAAGAGCGCGCAGGCGGCUGGUCAAGUCCGAUGUGAAAGCUCCCGGCUUAACUGGGAAAUUGCAUCGGAAACUGAUCGGCUGGAAGGUGGGAGAGGGUAGCGGAAUUCCCGGUGUAGUGGUGAAAUGCGUAGAUAUCGGGAGGAACACCAGUGGCGAAGGCGGAUCUCUGGGCCUUACCUGACGCUCAGGCGCGAAAGCUAGGGGAGCAAACAGG
rnacentral:rRNA from 1 species